CACUGUCUAUGGCUGAGUUCUGCUUGGCUCCAGUGACACUGUUUCUGCUGAGCUUGAAAACCUCUUAAACCUGUCAUUGAAAGAGACCCAUGGAACACUGAUUGAGGCCAUGACAACUGGGUACUCGGGAUCACCGGAGAGUGCUCCUCAGUGCAUGGUGAUUCCAUUUCCAGAGUUCUUAGUGCAGCCGUUGAAGACAGUGGUGUGGCAUACCGGAAAGGUUCCUCUCUCCAGGCCCUCUUUCUUCCUGUUCUGGACGGUUCCAGCUCUUUCAUACUUCCUGGGUUUCAGGUUCUCUCUUCUCCAGUUCCCCAAGAGGGACAAUAUUGUCAUCAGGAGAUGAAUGCAUCAUUAUGUUACCUGGAGACUCACCAUUGGCUGUCGCAUCCACUCCGAUCAGCAGGAAAGAUGCAACAUCACGUUGUCCUUCUUCAAGCAGGUUUAUUCAGGAACAUUUCACAUUGCAAUGCAGGAAUCGGAAUCCCCCAAGCAACCCCGGGGCCCACCUUAAAUACCCUACUGACUCCUCCCAAUCACCCCAGUCACGUAAUGGCAGUCAAUUGUUUCACAGCAGUGAUGACACCUCAGGUGAGCUGACGAGGCAUGGCGUCUGCACAGUGCAGGCAGCUGGGAUGUGGCUAGGUCUGAGGUAAUGAGGGAGUCAGGUGCAGGUCAUAAGACCUGGCAGCCAUCCGGGGCGCCAUCUUGGGGCGGCGGCUGCACCUGCUCCUCACAUCUCCCCCUUAUCUAUUAUUUUGGCAGAGAGAAUGCCUGUAUUAGGUUGCCCCUGCGAUAAUGCUCCUUACCCAUCAUCAGGAGGACAGACAGCAGUGGUCUGCUCCCUGUCUUAGGUUGGUAACACCUCCAGGGAGUCUUACCCGUCAUUGACUACUUCUCUAGCAUGCCAAGCCACACUUGAAAAGAUUGUCCCAGCUCUAGGGCUGCAAAAGUCUGAAUCAACAGUGCCUGUGUAUGGGUAUGCCUUUUUUGCAUAUGGCAAAUGCACCACAGGGCCAUUACUCCUGUGGCAACGCAGAUGAUUGCAAGCCCUCCUAUGCCAGCCCAUUCCUUGAGGUGUGAUAUUCCUGUGACUAUGGCAGCAGUAAUCUCAAAAUCUCUUUUAGGUCUAAACAGUAUCAUCACAGAUGGAGCUUGCACUGGCCAGGGUACAAAUCUAGGCUUACGGGUUACCGCAGCCAAGGAAAAUACAGAAGCAUUCCAAUACAUACUAUAAAAGCAAAUAUCACUACUAUGAUUCUCGAAGCCAAAACACUCACAGAAUUUUCAAACAAAUCAGACCCAUUCCAAUAACAACUAGCAUUUCCUCAGGCCCCUCCCAUCAGUAUACUUAGAGGUGACAAAUCAGUAUAGCUUCCAUUUACCCCAUAAAACAACCAUACAUUAAAGGGAUUAUUAGCCCCUCGCUGUGCUGGGCUUUGAUAUGUCCAAUUAUAACCUGCAAAUGUUUAAUUAUGCGUGGUACUGAUGUAUGGAGAAAAGGUAAAAUACUUUUUCACUGCCCAAGCGGCCAUCCGGGAUUGACAUCCAGUCCACAGAGGCAAAGAGUCUCAUACGCCUCUGCAAAACAGGGCUCAGUGUGGUUGGGGUAGAAUGCUAGCAUUGCCCUUGGGUAUGCUCGCAGGUCAAGUUUCUCUGAUCCAAGUAGCAUUAGCUUGGGUUGAACUAUUAAAAAGUCUAUCCAACCAUGUAGCAGUCUGAUUAUACAAUUGCAUACACGCACUACCUUGAGAAAUAUUUACAAUAAGCCGAAAGCAUAAUACCCCUCACAGAGCAAGCUGGAGAGGUUCAGUCACCGGUGCCACUCCUUCAUCAUCAGGAAAAAAGGGUAGCUGUAAAGAUGUAUUGGCAGUAAAGAAACGAGGAAACACUUGAGCGGAAUGGGUCAAGGGUAGCGGCUUUGGAAAAACAGACAUGAUGCCCCACCGUAGCUCCUCACUCCUGUACCCCAUCACCAUCCUCAGUAUUCCCAGGAGAAUCAGCAUCACACCUCUGGUCAUCCUUCAGCACUCGAGUCAGUUGUUCAGGUACCCACAAUGGCUGGCGGUGGUCUUGGGAGAACACACAAACAGACCCUCUCGCCCACACCAACACUGGAUCUGGCCCAUGCCAUUGGCCACCAACAUGUCCUUCCACAUAACAGUUCCUUCUGAAAUGUAUCAGGAUUACUAAAUAUCUCUGCAGUAGUACAAUCAAAUUUAUCUUUAUUUAAAAAAUUAAGAGUAAAUAAGGCUAUAGAAAGGUGUUCCUGGGGAAUUGCCCCUAGAGCAACUCCCCCUUUUUGUUUUAUUAAGGAUUCUUUUAAGGUACGAUGAGCACGUUCAAUUAUUCCCUGCCCCUGAUGGUUAUAGGGAAUACCAUGUACAAGAUGAACGCCCAUAAUCUUACAAAAGCUAACAAAAGUAUUGGAAGUAUAAGCAGGGUCAUUAUCAGUUUUUAAUUCUUUGGGUUGACCCCAAGCGCCCCAUGCUUCCAAGCAAUGAGCUAUGACAUGACAGGCCUUUUCCCCAGUAUGCAAAGAAGCAAAAAUGACUCCAGAGGCAGUAUCAAUUGAAACAUGAACAAACGGUAAUUUCCCAAAUUUGGCAAAAUGAGUAACAUCCAUCUGCCAAACGUGUAGGGGUACUAACCCACGUGGGUUAACUCCAAAGGAGGGUUGAGGUAAUAAAGGAGCGCAGGCCCGACAGGCCUUGACAAUCUCCCUGGCCUCAGCUGGGGUGAUCCCAAAGCAAGAGGCUAAUAUUUUAGAAUUUACAUGAAAUUUAGAAUGAAAAUCACAAGCAAGGUCGACGGCAGGACAUGCCAGAAAUACAGCAGCUUGUGCUGCCUUAUCCACUAUGUCAUUACCCUCAGCCAAUGGACCUGGUAACCCAGUAUGAGCUCGGAUAUGUUGAACAAGAA